UACGGAGGGUGCAAGCGUUGUCCGGAUUCACUGGGUUUAAAGGGUGCGUAGGUGGGCAGGUAAGUCAGUGGUGAAAUCUCCGGGCUUAACUCGGAAACUGCCAUUGAUACUAUCUGUCUUGAAUACCGUGGAGGUCAGCGGAAUAUGUCAUGUAGCGGUGAAAUGCUUAGAUAUGACAUAGAACACCAAUUGCGAAGGCAGCUGGCUACACGAAUAUUGACACUGAUGCACGAAAGCGUGGGGAUCAAACAGG
rnacentral:rRNA from 1 species